AUGAUAAAAAGGAAGAGGACCAGCAGAGACACAGAAGAGGCAGCCAUGUUUGCUUCUGUGGAUCAAAAGGACAGAUCUGUGGGGGACAAUGCUACGUGGACACAAGCCACAACCUGGUCGAUACCAACUGGGUAACAUGGGAGAGGAUGUCUCAGGAAACAUCACUGGCAUCAAAAUUGGAAAAAUUCCAACAUUUCCAUCAACUGUUUACCAGCGGUGCUGACAGUCACAGGUGGCCACUAAUCCCCCUUUACUGUCCUCCAGUCAUCCUUCAUCAGGGGUCUCAGCCUGUGUGAUAAGGAGAAUCUCAGCACAGAGCUGCUGCUCCCCUGCACUUACAGCAGCCAGCUGAGGUGGUUUGGGCAUCUGAUUAAUGAAGCACUUGGGAUGUCUCCCUUUUGAGGUGUACAAGACAUGUCUGACUGGGAUGGGGCAGAUCCAGGACAUGUUAGUGGGAUUACAUUUCUCAGCUGCCCUGAAAAUGUCUUAGGAUCCCCCAUGUGGAGCUGGUAGUGGCUCUUUGGGAAGGAGAGGCCUGCACUGCACUGCUAGACCUGUUGCCACCACAACUCUCCCAAAGUGUAAGCGACUUCAAAAUGGAUGGAUGGAUUGAUUGAAGGGAUGAUGGGCGGAUGGUGAUAAUUGUACAUACCCAAGGACUUGUUGCCAUCUUUACCCAACCUCUUAUUGUCACAGAGACAUACUCUCAACCCUGACUGGCUUGGAGCUGACAUUCUCUCUAAAAGCACUGUUGAGAGCCUCUGUUGCCCAUGACAACCCAGGGUACCUGGAAUCAGCAGAUCUCAUUUAGCACCUCUCCAGUUAAUUUGUGGUGCUAUUCAGUCAGAGUUGUUUCAGUGGGAACUGUCCAUCCCAUGUCUUGUUAGAAUAAACCUGAAUGUCACAGACUUCCUGGUAUCUGUCUAAACACUCUCUGAUUAGCAUUAGACUGUACACCUUGCAUGUCUGUAUGAAAUGUGCUGAGACUAAAAUAUGUGCUGCCACCAAAAUAUAAGAUCAUUUACACAGAGGUGGCUUUUUUAUUAGAUAUGAAUUGAUUGAUGAAA